CCCUGGGUGGCUCAGUCAGUUAAGUGUCUGACUUCAGCUCAGGUAAUGAUCUCACAGUUUGUGGGUUCAAGUCCCGCUUUGGGCU
rnacentral:tRNA from 1 species